rnacentral:sRNA from 1 species
UCUGGUAACCAGCACGGGCGUCGGAGUUACAUCCACGCCCGUGUACGCAUGUUAAGGGGGAUGAAAAUAAU